rnacentral:sRNA from 1 species
GCGGGCAGCACAGCUUUGGUGCUUCGGAACGGUCUGCAGCAGGCUCAUCAACGGUUUUGUUUCCCUUAUCCGUUUGAGUGAU